rnacentral:rRNA from 1 species
GCGCAGCAGUCGAGAAUCUUUAGCAAUGCCCGAAAAGGGUGACUAUGCGACGCCGCGUGAGCGAUGAAGUCCUUCGGGACGUAAAGCUCUGUCAGGUGGGAUGAAUUUUUCGACCUUAACAGGGUUGGAAUUUGACCGUACCACCAGAGGAAGCCACGGCUAACUCCGUGCCAGCAGCCGCGGUAAUACGGAGGUGGCAAGCGUUGUUCGGAUUUAUUGGGUGUAAAGGGCAUGUAGGUGUCCUAGUAA